GGCUCAGGACGAACGCUGGCGGCGUGCCUAACACAUGCAAGUCGAACGAGGUCCAUCCUUCGGGAGAAGACCUAGUGGCGAACGGGUGAGUAACACGUGAAGAACCUGCCCCGAAGACCGGGAUAACCCUCCGAAAGGAGAGCUAAUACCGGAUACCCCCACCGAACCGCAUGGUUGGUGAGGAAAUGGAUUCCGCUUCGGGAGGGCUUCGCGGCCUAUCAGCUAGUUGGUGGGGUAACGGCCCACCAAGGCAUCGACGGGUAGCUGGUCUGAGAGGACGAUCAGCCACACUGGGACUGAGACACGGCCCAGACUCCUACGGGAGGCAGCAGUGGGGAAUCUUGCGCAAUGGGCGAAAGCCUGACGCAGCAACGCCGCGUGGGGAUGAAGGCUCUCGGGUUGUAAACCCCUUUCAGCAGGGACGAAUCAAGACGGUACCUGCAGAAGAAGCCCCGGCUAACUACGUG
rnacentral:rRNA from 1 species